UACGGAGGAUGCAAGCGUUAUCCGGAUUCAUUGGGUUUAAAGGGUGCGCAGGUGGACUUGUAAGUCAGUGGUGAAAUGCUGCCGCUUAACGGUAGAAUUGCCAUUGAUACUGCAGGUCUUGAAUAUAAUUGAGGUAAGCGGAAUGUGUUGUGUAGCGGUGAAAUGCAUAGAUAUGACACAGAACACCGAUUGCGAAGGCAGCUUACUAAGCUAUUAUUGACGCUGAGGCACGAAAGCGUGGGGAUCGAACAGGAUUAGAUACCCUGGUAGUCCACGCUGUAAACGAUGAUCGCUCGCUGUUUGCGAUACACAGUAAGCGGCUGACCGAAAGCAUUAAGUGAUCCACCUGGGGAGUACGAUCGCAAGGUUGAAACUCAAAGGAAUUGACGGGGGCCCGCACAAGCGGAGGAACAUGUGGUUUAAUUCGAUGAUACGCGAGGAACCUUACCUGGGCUUAAAUGUAGAGUGUAUGAGGUGGAAACACUUCUUCCCUUCGGGGCUCUUUACAAGGUGCUGCAUGGUUGUCGUCAGCUCGUGCCGCGAGGUGUCGGUCUAAGUCCCAUAACGAGCGCAACCCUUACCGUUAGUUGCCAUCAGGUCAUCCUUGGGACUCUAGCGCGACCACCACCGUAAGGUGAGAGGAAGGUGGGGAAGACGUCAAAUCAGCACGGCCCUUAUGUCCAGGGCUACACACGUGUUACAAUGGUCGGUACAAAGGGCAGCUACACUGCGAACUGAUGCUAAUUCCAAAAACCGAUCCCAGUUUGGAUUGGAGUUUGCAACCUGACUCCAUGAAGUUGGAUUCGCUUGUAAUCGCGCAUCAACCAUGGCGCGGUGAAUACGUUCCCGGGCCU
rnacentral:rRNA from 1 species